UGGGGAAUAUUGGACAAUGGGCGAAAGCCUGAUCCAGCCAUGCCGCGUGUAUGAAGAAGGCCUUCGGGUUGUAAAGUACUUUCAGCGAGGAGGAAGGCGUUGUGGUUAAUAACCGCAACGAUUGACGUUACUCGCAGAAGAAGCACCGGCUAACUCCGUGCCAGCAGCCGCGGUAAUACGGAGGGUGCAAGCGUUAAUCGGAAUUACUGGGCGUAAAGCGCACGCAGGCGGUCUGUCAAGUCGGAUGUGAAAUCCCCGGGCUCAACCUGGGAACUGCAUCCGAAACUGGCAGGCUAGAGUCUUGUAGAGGGGGGUAGAAUUCCAGGUGUAGCGGUGAAAUGCGUAGAGAUCUGGAGGAAUACCGGUGGCGAAGGCGGCCCCCUGGACAAAGACUGACGCUCAGGUGCGAAAGCGUGGGGAGCAAACA
rnacentral:rRNA from 1 species